rnacentral:rRNA from 1 species
CGUGGGUAACCUGCCCAAGAGACUGGGAUAACACCUGGAAACAGAUGCUAAUACCGGAUAACAACACUAGACGCAUGUCUAGAGUUUAAAAGAUGGUUCUGCUAUCACUCUUGGAUGGACCUGCGGUGCAUUAGCUAGUUGGUAAGGUAACGGCUUACCAAGGCAAUGAUGCAUAGCCGAGUUGAGAGACUGAUCGGCCACAUUGGGACUGAGACACGGUCCAAACUCCUACGGGAGGCAGCAGUU